AGCAUGGGAUAAUGGAAUAGGACCCUGUCCUCCUAUUUUCAGUUGGUUUUGGCAGCGCGAGGACUAGGGUAAUGAUUAAUAGGGAUAGUUGGGGGCAUUAAUAUUUAAUUGUCAGAGGUGAAAUUCUUGGAUUUAUGAAAGAUUAACUUCUGCGAAAGCAUCUGCCAAGGAUGUUUUCAUUAAUCAAGAACGAAAGUUAGGGGAUCGAAGACGAUCAGAUACCGUCGUAGUCUUAACCAUAAACGAUGCCGACCAGCGAUUAGGAGACGUUGAAUACAAAACACCACCGUCGGCGCGGUCGUCCUUGGCGUCGGUCCUUCACGGGGCCGGCGCGAGGGCGGCUUA
rnacentral:rRNA from 1 species